UUUCCGUAGGUGAACCUGCGGAAGGAUCAUUAACACGUUACGCACCAAACACGAUGCGAGAAACUUCUCAUAUGAAUGUGCUCCGAAACUUGAGAAACUUCCCUUUUGUUCCAAACCUAAUCACUGUUUGCGAUAAUAUACGCCUUAUUGUCUUUGUUUGUUGUUUAAAAAAAAGAUAGAGCUUUCUUAGGAAUUGCUCUUCUUUUAAUCUAAUAAAGAACAACUCUGAGCAACGGAUAUCUUGGAUACCGCAUCGAUGAAGAACACAGC
rnacentral:misc_RNA from 1 species